AUGGAGCCGACCUUGAAAUACCACCCUUUAAUGUUUGAUGUUCUAACGUUGACCCGUAAUCCGGGUUGCGGACAGUGUCUGGUGGGUAGUUUGACUGGGGCGGUCUCCUCCUAAAGAGUAACGGAGGAGCACGAAGGUUGGCUAAUCCUGGUCGGACAUCAGGAGGUUAGUGCAAUGGCAUAAGCCAGCUUGACUGCGAGCGUGACGGCGCGAGCAGGUGCGAAAGCAGGUCAUAGUGAUCCGGUGGUUCUGAAUGGAAGGGCCAUCGCUCAACGGAUAAAAGGUACUCCGGGGAUAACAGGCUGAUACCGCCCAAGAGUUCAUAUCGACGGCGGUGUUUGGCACCUCGAUGUCGGCUCAUCACAUCCUGGGGCUGAAGUAGGUCCCAAGGGUAUGGCUGUUCGCCAUUUAAAGUGGUACGCGAGCUGGGUUUAGAACGUCGUGAGACAGUUCGGUCCCUA
rnacentral:rRNA from 2 species